CAUUAUCGAAUUAUAAGCGAGGGUUGUUGCUGGCCUCGAAAGAGGCAUGUGCACGCCCGAGCUCUUAAAUCCACAACACACCUGUGAACCCACCGUAGGCCUUCGGGCUUAUGUAUCAUAUACUCUGAAUGUGUCAUAGAAUGUUCAUGUUGCCUUAAAACGCAAUCAAAUACAACUUUCAACAACGGAUCUCUUGGCUCUCGCAUCGAUGAAGAACGCAGCGAAAUGCGAUAAGUAAUGUGAAUUGCAGAUUUUCAGUGAAUCAUCGAAUCUUUGAACGCACCUUGCGCUCCUUGGUAUUCCGAGGAGCAUGCCUGUUUGAGUGUCAUUAAAUUCUCAACCCCACCGAUUUGCUUCGGGGGGAUUGGACUUGGAGCGUGCUGGCGAAGGUCGGCUCCUCUUUAAAUGCAUCAGUGGAGAGAAACUUGCCCCAGUGUGAUAAUCCUGUUGCGCUGUGGUGGGUGAAAGUCUGCUUCCAACCGUCCCUCCGGGGACAUAUGUCAUCUUAUUUUGACCUCAAAUCAGGUAGGACUACCCGCUGAACUUAAGCAUAUCAAUA
rnacentral:rRNA from 1 species